CAAAGAAACGGUACAAAUAUAAUUUGGUUUGUUUUUUUUUCUUCAACACACACACACACACAAGAUGAUAGAUGACUUCAUCGACAUUGACAACGAAACUUUUAUGAAAAAAAAAUUUAGAACUGAAAUUUCAAUUUUUUUCAAGAAAUAAAAAAAAAAAUAGUUCGUUUGUUGGUCGGCGUGUUUUUUUUUUUUCGUUUUACCUGCCAUGGUUUCCAAGACAUUGUCUUGUUUCUGUUUGAUAAUUCAAUUCGUAAGAAAAAACCGAAAAAAAAAUGAAAAUGACUUUUCUAUACGCACCCACCAUUAAAUCAUUCAUCAUCUAAAUUGGUUUAUUCGAUUGAUGAUGGCUAACCAUCACCGAAGCAAUCAUUGUUGUGUGAUGUGUUAAAUUAAUUGAUUGAUUGAUUGAU